AAUGUUAAACCUGUAUACAAAUUUAUAAAACAAAUUUUUCCAGCACAGCAAACACACAACCUAUUAUCCCAUCACAAAAGUCACAUCACAAACAAAAUUUUUUAUUAAAAGCUAAUCAUAUUAUCAUAUUUGAUUACAUUAUACUUUAAAAAUAUUAAAAACAUACAUAGCAAAUUCCUAAAUAAACAGUCUACGAGGUCUCAAGGGUCGACGGCAUCAUCAUCUCUACGAGUAGAAGUAUCGGCAACCUACAAGAAAAAAAAAACUUUAGAAACUAAGAAUACAAAAAUCAUUACACUCGUACAAGAAUAUACUAUAAUUACAUAAAAUAUAGAUUUAGUUAUUUACCGAAGGGACAAAUCUCUGUAAAAAAGAUGAAAUAUGGUCAAGCUGAUCUUGCAAAGAUUGUAUCUUCAACUCUUGGCUCUGCUUCAACUCCUCCAUAUCGGUCCUAUGACUCUGCCUCAUCUCCUCUAGCCUUGUCUCAUAUGACUGCUUUAUCUGUACCAUCUUUGCCUUCAGACUACAAACCUCUGCAGUGCUACUACCUUGUCUAGCAUCUUGGGUAUAUCGGCUCACUGCAGACAACUGGGUGGCGGUAACUCCAACACCAUAACCCCUCACUCGACCAUAACGUUCUGGGCCCAUUAAUUCGGUAUAGACCUGAGCCUCGACGCGACUGGCCGCAUCGAAUGAUGAUAACUCCCCGACACGCUCUGAAAUAAGAGUUGUAGCUCUUUCCUAUAUAUCUCUCAAAAAUAAAAAUCACAUUAAUAUUUAAAAAAAUUUAAAAUUUUUUAAAAAAUAUUCUGAACAAAGCAAAAAUGAAUACAUACAACUAUAUCUCUCGACUCGUCCCGGACAAAGCUGCCAUCUCGGUGGGUGUGAGUCAUCUUAUAAAACUCUACCUCACCAGGCUCCCUUCCAUGUAUUGGCAAACUAUAUAUCAUGAUACGUGCUAUAUGUUAGUAGAGUUUCAAAUAGUUUCAAAAAAACUUACGAAUUCAUUUCUACGUCUCGCAUAACUCUUCGAGCCUGAAGUGUGAGGAACUGCUUGAGAUGCUCGUGCAGCUCUACCAAUAUUAGAAUAUGUCUGCCAAAAUAAAAGUAUACAGUAUAAUAUGAUUCAAUGUAUAUAUUUGCAAUCCAUAUUAAUAAUAAAGAUAAUAUAAGAUAUUGAAACAAUAUACGAGACCUGCCCUCUUUCAGAAAACCAGUAGUGAAUAAGCUCCCUCCACUGCUGAGGGUAUACAUCAGGAGGACAAACACGAGCAACCUCCUCCUCUGUCAUACCUUCGCGCUUGUAGUCUGUCUUCAACUCCGCCUUAUAUUCUUUUCCAUUUACGGUUGAGGGACUUUAGCACCCAAUUAUGGCUCUCUGGAGGGAGUACAAACUUACCCUACAACAAGUGUCAAAAUGUUAUAAAAAUAUUAAAUCAAAAAUUAUGGUAGUAAGCAAAUUAACAUACAGGAGGUAUCAAAUUAAAAAGAAUAAAUUCAAUUCAUUACCUGUAUAAGUCUAAGAAGCUCAACCUUAUACGAAGCAAGCAUUUCAUUCCACUUCGUAUAGUUGAGCGGACACCGCUCACCAUUGCGUGCAACCGAUCCUAAAAAGCUUGAUAGAAGACUUCCAGCUCUAUUGAUGGGCUGCCCCAAUUUAUUGCAUUGGAUGAUGAUCUUCUCACCCUCACGAAGCUGCCACACAUCCUUUGCUUGAGUGGGUCCUCGUCUCGUUCUCACCGUCCCUUGUCCAUUUAUUAAAAUUAAAUAAAAUAUGCCUUUAAAAAUUGAAGACAAAUAUGAACAUAAAAUAUGAACUUUGAAUCGAAUUACCCUGGAUCCAGAGCUCAUCCAUAGCAACAUCCUCCCCUAGGCAAUCAGCAGGAGGCUCGCGCUGAGAUCCAAACUCGCGCUGCUGGUGCUCACAUGGCUGCUGGAACUGCAGGGACUGAUCAGAAGAAGAUCCGACCUGAGAAUGCUGGAACUCCAUAUUUCUAAAUCGUUUUCCUCGGGGCAUAUUGUUACCUGAUAUGCACAAAAAAGAAUUAAUAUUAGUUAAUUGAUAAAUUUAUACUAAAUGAAUUGCUAAUAAAAGAGAACACAAUAAUUCAUUCAACUAGAUAAAUUAGCAUAUGCAGGAAAAAGACAAGCAAUAAUGUAGGACGAAGAGUGUGGGGACUAACCAUUUCACAACUAUGAAGAAGAAAGUUGCCAAGAAAAACAAAUAUCUAGCAACUAAUAAUCCUGUAUCAAUUCUGAUGGCAAAAUCAGAUAGUUAUUAACCAUGCAGCGAAAUAAGGGCAGCUUUGGUUUAAAAGUGAACUAGACCUUAGUCGCUCGCGUAGAAGUAGUAUCAAAGGAUUGUUCUACUUGCCUGUAAAGGAGAAGCAUAAGAAGCUUGUAAACGAGAGUAGAUUUAUGCAAAAUUUACAUUGCAGAGAAAAGUAGGGAGAAAUUGGGAAAAGAAUCAGAUAAUCAUAAUGAAUGGCAAAAAUUAUAUAAAAAAUGGAUAGGAUAAAAUUAUUACACUACCUUUCCCAUAGACAAGAGAUGAAUAUGCGUUCUUUCUAGACAUUACUGAACCUGAAGCACUGCAUGAUCGAUUACAUGACUGGAGCUAGCAGUGCAAUCAGCAUUGUUUUGGCAUACAAUGCACAAUGUGAUUAUGCAAUUCUGAAGUAAAAGCUAUAUCACAAGAGAUUUAUCAGAACAAUUUAAAGAAUUUAACGAUGUGGUUCAAAGUUCACUAGUCACACGUUGUAGAGAGACAGCCUUGAAGAAGUUCCACAGUUAAAAGAUGCCUUGAAAGUGGUUGCGUACCUUUCUACCAUUGAUGCCAUGAAGAAGUUCCACAGUUAAAAGAUGCCAGCUUUCUAGUCACAGAUAUAGAGCUUCUGUUCAAAAAGACUGGCAUCCUUACAUAAGAUAGCUUGUCAAAAGAAAUGCAGCACACGAGUGGGUACACUGGCACAGGAACCUCAAUUUAGAAAAUCCCAGCUUGUAGAGUGGUGUCAUUCAGGCCCCAAUUGGCAGAGAGGGUUACACUCAAAGUGGAUGUCGAGACGAUGGACACAAUUUUGGUAGGAUUUCAUGCUAGUGGCUGGAUGGGCUCAGGAUGAUCGAUCGUUACAAACACUUGUUGUGUACGUUGGCAAAUAACUCCUUGCUAAAUAAGUGAAAUUUCACAGGAUAUGGUGAGCGUUAGAGAGGAUGCACGGCUUCUAAAAGACAAUUAAACAUAAGCAUGUUUCUAACCUGAGGUUGUCAUCCUCAAGAGCAGAAAAAUUUCGUGUGUGCGGAGCACAAACUAAAGCAAUGCGUAUGUGCUGGUGAACGGGAUUGCAAGCUUUAACCAGCCACAGGAGCCUCAAAACAGAGUAAGAAGCUGGGAGAUAACUUCCAUGAAGGCAAGAAAGAUGAUAAAGACCUCACUUUAAUUAAAUAAUUAACAUUCUUCCACAAAAAAAAAUAACUAACAUGCAAACUUGCCUACGAUUUAACUCAUACUUAAUAUGAGACUGGACAUUGCUAAUUAAAUUCCAAACUACCAGAUGAGAAAAAAAUAAUUAUGCUGGUGUUGGCUUUUUUUUCCAUCUGGUCUAGGCAAGUGCCAAGGGACUCGGGUCCUAAAAAACUCAGUUAGCUAGUGGAGAAAGAUACCGCAUCUUCCAUUUGAUGUGCACGGGCAUUCCAUCUGUAUCUGAUCAAUCGAAAAGAUGAUGAUGGAAAAUGAAGGGAUGAUAGAAAGUAGCAUGAUUCCAAAUAUCUUGACCUUCAAGGAUUUUUGUCAUCAUCACAUAGUUGUUCAAAGAUAGAAAAGGAGGUAAAGCACCAAGCUAUAGUAGAAGGCGCAACACUAGACUAUAGUAAAAAUGUAGCACUAGGCUACAGUUGAAACCUAACUCUACCUAUUUAUAGGAUAAAAGAUAGGUUAAAAAUAAAUGAUAAAGAUUCAUUGAUUGAUAGUCGAAGGAUCCAUAAUACAUAGUAUAAUCCCAUUAUCUAUACUAAAAUAGAAUAAUUGCCCACUCUGAUAGUUGUCGUCCAUGUCUAGCCUCCAUCUCUGGCCAUUCUAGUUACCAACAUCGUUUAUCUUUUCACUAUUGCACGAUUAUUAGAAUGCAUUAGCCGAAACUGAUAUUCAUAUUUAUCGGCCUCGAUAUACCGUUCGCUUUCAUCGGCCUAUUCCAUUGGCUAUAUUGUUUUCUUAAUCGUCUCGUAGCAAGGUCUUCUGCAUUUUUUGAAAUCCGAUUCACUUGUCCUUGUAGUUGAUUUCUACUAUCAUGACCAUUCCAUUGGUUAUAUUGUUUUCUUAAUCGUCUUGUAGCAAAGUCUUCUACAUUUUUUGAAAUACCAUUAAGAUCGAUUCACUUGUCCUUAUAGUUGGUUGCUACUAUCUUGACCAUUCAGCCAAGUAAUCAUCUUUUGGCCUAUCCCUCCUAAAAAUUUACCAUGGUUGAACUCUAUCAAACCUGGCAAAGAUCACACGGCUUUCGCUUAUAUGACUUCAUCAAAUUUGAUCCAUAUGGUGCCUACCUAUUGUUGUUUUUCGACUUGUUGAGUUAUGGUGCAAACAAUUGGUUAAUUAAGAAAGCUUAUAUAAAGUGGACAACUACCAAAGCUCCACCAAGGUGUUUUUCGGUCACUUUCAUUUGUUGUAAAGAAGAGAGAGAGAGAGAGAGAGAGAGUGGAGAGAGCUUAUCAUGUGUAAAAAUUAAUUCCACUAACAAAUCUUAAUUUGCUAUCUCAUUCUACAAUAGGGACAAACAUUAACCACUUCUAGGUUUAGUUCUUUUAGAGUCGAAAGCUGCUCUUGUCCAAGAUUCAUUACUUAAUUUCUGGAAGUUGGAUAAUGAUCUAAAUUCUGGAUAUAAUUUGACCUUAUCAAUUUAUCACUUAAAAAGGCCUCAAAAGUAUCAACUCUAGCGUACUAUAGUCUUUUAUUACUUUACCUUCUAACACUUUUUCUACAAGAUAUAACAGAAAGGAUUAUGCAUCGAUUUUUUGUUAGUGCUUAUAAUAAUUGGUUUUCUGUUUUACCAACUGUAAGGAGAAACUUUGAUCUAGGGAAGAAAUUUGCUGUGAGAAAUUCCCCCAAGGAUGUAGAUACAACAAUAUAACUUCAAAGAAGUGGUAAAAUCUAACUACAUACACUAGCUUAUAGUAAAAACAUGAUAAUUUUCAACCAUUGUUUAGAGCAAAAUCAACCAUUUUACUUGCUGCAUUUCUAGAUAAUGAACAAGACAUGGACUUCAAAGGGUCAUCACACCGUCGCAAUCAAAAUUCAUUAAGCAAUACAAGCUUAAACUAAACCAUCUACCAAACACAAUCACUAAUUCAAGUAAUAGUUAUACAACCCUUGGAUGGAAUAUAGGAGACCAUCUAUUUUACAUUCCUUCUUUUUAUCAUUCUCAAAUAGAAUGAAAGAAAAUAUUGUUUGAGGUCUCAUGCACACUAGUUUGGGAUUUAUAUGCACCGAUUUUAUUUUCUGCAUAAACUCGUUAGACUGAAGGAAAAUUGCCCCAAUCUCAUGUCUACCCUACUUUUUAACAAGUGGCAUGAUUAUCUUAGUACAAGGGCAGCAAGAGAGGUUGUCUAAGGAGCGCUUGAGUGUAUGCAGUCUUCCAAAUCAUAAGAAGUCUCUCUUAUAAGCAUCAGAUAACCAUACAUCAUUGGAGUGGAAACUUGCUGCAUUUUGGCAAUGCACUGAAGGUUUUAAUUCUAGGGACAAGAAGGAUAGUGGAAGCUUGCAACAAUCCUAACACUUCAAAUUCUGAUGUCCAUUGCUACAUAAAUUAUUCUAUUGGUGAUCAACAUAUGUUAAUGCUAAACUUAGUGGUUGAGCUUGUAAAUGUAAAGAGUGCAUUUUCAGCAAUGGAAUGAAAGAAACAGGCUUGAAUUUGUCACACAACAGCCAUCAAUUACUGAAUUAACAGACACUGAUACGAAGACAGACUCCAGCUUAUGAGGAAUAAGGUGUUACAGAUCAAGCGAUGAUUGACUAGGAAAUGAAAUGAUUAGAACACUCAUCACAGAAGUUUUGAAAGGUUAUUUUUGAAAGGCCUUAUUGUUAAGAGUAAGGCACGAUGAUCAGGGUAAUGGACCUUUUGCAAAUUAGCAGAUUUAUUACAUAAACAAAUCCACAAUCAUAUUAUACUGCAACUAAAUAUGAGGUUAUACCGCCCAUAAACUAAUUAGGUACUUCUCAAUGAUCCAACAAAUUGCAAUGUCAGUGGGGAGAACAAUCAACAUCUCCAUAUUUGGGAAAGCAAUCUUAAGCUAUGCAUGUCAUCAAAUUGCAUCCAAAUAGGAGAUCUGCGAAACAAAAUUUUUAACUAAGGCUCAUUCGGCAUAUAUGGUUGUAGUCAAAAAUAAGGAAAUGAAGUCAAAUUUGGCGUUCCCCCAUUGUAAGAAAAGUGAUGACCCUUGUAGAGUAAAACAAGAAAAGUGGCUGCGUGAUGCAGUGAAGCUAGAAAAUUGUCACUCAAAGUAUUAAGAAAAGACUACAUCAUUCAGAGUCAAUACCGCCCUUGUAGACUAAAACAAGAACAGGGGAUGCAUAACGCACUGAACGUGCAAAUUUUGUAAACCAAAGGAGAAAAUUAAAAAUAGGUUUCAAUGUUUCAUCAUUCAGAGUCAGCACUCCCCUGGUAGGCUAAAAAUAGUAAAAGAAAAGUCUCCAUCAUUUCCCCGUCAACAAUGCCCUUGGACGCUUAAGCAAUACCAGAGGAUACGUGACGCAGUGAACCAAGAAAAUUUCCAAGUCCAAGAACGGAGGAUUCCAGCAGUGCUGAAGAAUGACCGGAUCGAAGGUGUGUCACUGUUAGCAGUUUUCUACCAAGACAAAACUGGGGCAUGUAUUGGAAAGAAACUUUGGACUAUGCCAUAAUGUUAGCGUUUGUGUCCUGAGCCACCUGUUCAACGAGAAAAUCAGAACACGUUCUGUAAAGACAGCAUUCCCUUCAAACGCAUUAAAUACGCAUAGCAUUCCCUUCACCGUUGAACAGUUUUCUCCCGUUAUUUCUUUCGCUUUCCAUCUAUCCCUUUAAAUCCCAUCCAUCUUAUACAGAGAAGCGUAUCGAUCCCCCUCCUAUCCAUCCUCAUAAACUUAUUGCCGACCGCCACUCCCGCAACGCCACCUUUCCGCCCCCCACGUAGCCAUGCUCUUCUCGGCCGCUGCCCUGAUACCGCCCUCCUCGUCGGCGCUGCUGCGGCCUCGUCUACCCGUUUCUCUUCCCGGUACGCCCCCUUUCCUUCCAUCCAUCAGGCUCUUAAAGGAUCAUGAUUUAUUUGUUCCUGGUUUCCCCUGUUCUUUCCUCUUUCAUCCGUCGAGGUAUCAAACUAGAGUUUGGUUCGGUUUCGUCCGCUUUUUGUUCAAUUUUUUGAUGUUCGAAGAGCAGUGGAGGAGGACUACGAGACCGCCGGAAUGUUCUUUGACCCCUCAAUUAGCUAGGUUUGGGUCUAGAAGAUAGCAAUGACCAAUGAGGCAAUGGUGCAUCAUUUCAUCCAAAUGAUCUAAAUCUCUCGCUUUGUUCCAUGCAAACUGUGCUUGAGAUUUUCCUCCUAUUUCUAUCAGUGUACCGAAAAAGCCCCAAGUGUUAAUGAAGUGUGACCAUAAAUGGUUUUAGAUGGAUUAGCAGGCUUUGAGAAGUUUUUUUUUUUUUUGUCUGUCUCUCUCUCUCUCUCUUCUCUUUCAAGCGCCGUCUGAUGGAUCCAUGAUAAUUUCUUUCCUUUUUCUUCCUUGAACAAGUGGCAAUGGUGUACUUAUCAGUGGUUUUAGAUGGAUAGAUUACGUCGAGAUCUAAGCUGUCUUUAUUAUUAUUAUUAUUAUUAUUAUUUUCUUUUUCCUUUCAAAAGAAAGUAGGAUUUGAGAUUCUGGCAAAUGAUGCAAGUUGUUUCAUAUUCUGAUCAUGUGCCAUGAAACAAGGGUAAUUGAUAUCUUCCCUAAAUAAUGCAGUUAUUUAGUGAGGGAAAUUUGAUCAAAGAAACUUUAGCUCUUUAUCUUCUUCCUGCUCUCAUAUAUAAGCCGUUGUUGUAAAUUUGGUCAGUCCUUUCUAUGUGGAAAUGAAAGAAGUGUAACAGAGAAAAUAUUAUAAAUAAUAUUUAUUUAUACACAUAAUAUUAAGGUUUUAAUCAGAUAAGAUCAGGGCCAUCCAUCCUGCUACUCCAUAAUUUAUCUUUAUUAUUUUUGGAGGAAAUAUUUCUAUAAGGCGGUAACCCAGGCCUCGUGCAGCCUUUUCUCGUUGUCUUCUUUCUACACGGGACAUGGGUGGUCCUAAUCAAGAGGAAAUGAGGAAUGGAUGAAAUGAUGAUUUGCUGUUUGUGCUCGUGUACCAGGUCCGUCUAAUCUAGCUGUCGUACGGAGGCCAGAGGGUAACCUAUGUCUUGCCCGCUGGAGGUGCCAUGCAAUAUCCAAAGGAGGCGCUCAAGGUACUGAUGCUCUUUAAAGCUCUUCUGAAUCUCUUCCAUAAACAAAAAAAAAAAAAAAAAACAACUGUAAGAGAGACAAUGGAAUAUUUUAUUUUCUUUUAUUUUGUUUUAUCUCCUUGUUGACGGGGAGCUGCCUCGGGAACUCCGGGACGUCUUGUUUUCCGAUUUUAUUGGGUGUAUCCGUACCCGUGUUGUAUAGAUCGCCUGGUUUAGACAAAAAAAAAAAAAAAAAAAAANAAAAAAAAA
rnacentral:lncRNA from 1 species